CAAAUCUCAUCUAUUUUCUCUGUAACAAAGCUUUUGUAUGGCUUUACGCAAACACACACACUUCAUGCAGGUAUUUCCAGUUUGACAACGCUGGCUUGUUUAAGGCUUGAAAGUUCCUCUUGUUCACUUCAAGGAAGCAGCAGUGAUCGUGAUGGCAUAUGAACAAAAGGCAUCAAAAAGUCAAUUGUUUUCAUUAUCUGGGAGAAAACACUCAGCACAUUCUCAAUGAUUCCAGGCGUCGGUGUGACUGCCACCACGUCCGAAGAUGAUGGCGUCGUCGCCGCCCUGUACAAGAUGAUUCCUCGCCGCAACAGCCGGUUGGCUUAGCUUCACAAAGUGAGCAGCAGGUGCCGUCGCCCUAAUAGAUGUUAAAGUCGUCGGGGAAGACAAGUUGGGCGUCACUUGAGCGCAG